rnacentral:rRNA from 1 species
ACGAACGCUGGCGGCGUGCUUAACACAUGCAAGUCGAACGGAAAGGCCCAGCUUGCUGGGUGCUCGAGUGGCGAACGGGUGAGUAACACGUGGGUGAUCUGCCUCUAACUUCGGGAUAAGCUUGGGAAACUGGGUCUAAUACCGGAUAGGCCAAUCGUUUAGUGUCGGUUGUGGAAAGUUUUUUCGGUUAGGGAUGCGCCCGCGGCCUAUCAGCUUGUUGGUGGGGUAAUGGCCUACCAAGGCGUCGACGGGUAGCCGGCCUGAGAGGGUGGACGGCCACAUUGGGACUGAGAUACGGCCCAGACUCCUACGGGAGGCAGCAGUGGGGAAUAUUGCACAAUGGGCGCAAGCCUGAUGCAGCGACGCCGCGUGGGGGAUGACGGCCUUCGGGUUGUAAACCUCUUUCGACAGGGACGAAGCUUUGGUGACGGUACCUGUAUAAGAAGCACCGGCUAACUACGUG